AUUGAACGCUGGCGGCAUGCUUUACACAUGCAAGUCGAACGGUAACAGGCCUUCGGGUGCUGACGAGUGGCGAACGGGUGAGUAAUGCAUCGGAACGUACCCAGAGGUGGGGGAUAACGCAGCGAAAGCUGUGCUAAUACCGCAUGUGAUCUGAGGAUGAAAGCGGGGGACCGAGCCGCAAUGUUUGGCCUCGCGCCUUUGGAGCGGCCGAUGUCGGAUUAGCUAGUUGGUGGGGUAAAGGCCUACCAAGGCGACGAUCCGUAGCUGGUCUGAGAGGACGACCAGCCACACUGGGACUGAGACACGGCCCAGACUCCUACGGGAGGCAGCAGUGGGGAAUUUUGGACAAUGGGCGCAAGCCUGAUCCAGCAAUGCCGCGUGCGGGAAGAAGGCCUUCGGGUUGUAAACCGCUUUUGGCAGGAACGAAACGGUGUCCGCUAAUACCGGGCGCUAAUGACGGUACCUGCAGAAUAAGCACCGGCUAACUACGUG
rnacentral:rRNA from 1 species